AUCCAGCUGACGAGUCCUGAAUAGAACGAAACACGUUUCCUGGAU
rfam:Schistosoma rodhaini strain Burundi genome assembly, scaffold: SROB_scaffold0001321